GGGAAUCUUGCACAAUGGGGGAAACCCUGAUGCAGCGACGCCGCGUGAGCGAUGAAGCCCUUCGGGGUGUAAAGCUCUUUCGACGGGAACGAUAAUGACGGUACCCGGAGAAGAAGCUGCGGCUAACUACGUGCCAGCAGCCGCGGUAAUACGUAGGCAGCAAGCGUUGUUCGGAGUUACUGGGCGUAAAGAGUGUGUAGGCGGUUCGCUAAGUUUGGUGUGAAAUCUCCCGGCUUAACUGGGAGGGUGCGCCGAAUACUGGUGGGCUAGAGUGUGGGAGAGGGAAGCGGAAUUCCUGGUGUAGCGGUGAAAUGCGUAGAUAUCAGGAGGAACACCGGUGGUGUAGACGGCUUCCUGGACCACAACUGACGCUGAGACACGAAAGCGUGGGGAGCAAAC
rnacentral:rRNA from 1 species